AAGACGCCUAAAAAGUUUACAUACAACCUACAUAUCAGCAUCACACACACACACUCUCUCUCUCUCUCUCUCUCACACACACACACACACACACACACGCUCUCUCUCUCUCUCUCUCUCUCUCUCACACACACACACACACACACACACGCUCUCUCUCUCUCUCUCUCUCUCUCUCACACACACACACACACACACACACGCUCUCUCUCUCUCUCUCUCUCUCUCUCACACACACACACACACACACACACGCUCUCUCUCUCUCUCUCUCUCUCUCUCACACACACACACACACACACACACGCUCUCUCUCUCUCUCUCUCUCUCUCUCACACACACACACACACACACACACGCUCUCUCUCUCUCUCUCUCUCUCUCUCACACACACACACACACACACACACGCUCUCUCUCUCUCUCUCUCUCUCUCUCACACACACACACACACACACACACGCUCUCUCUCUCUCUCUCUCUCUCUCUCACACACACACACACACACACACACGCUCUCUCUCUCUCUCUCUCUCUCUCUCACACACACACACACACACACACACGCUCUCUCUCUCUCUCUCUCUCUCUCUCACACACACACACACACACACACACGCUCUCUCUCUCUCUCUCUCUCUCUCUCACACACACACACACACACACACACGCUCUCUCUCUCUCUCUCUCUCUCUCUCACACACACACACACACACACACACGCUCUCUCUCUCUCUCUCUCUCUCUCUCACACACACACACACACACACACACGCUCUCUCUCUCUCUCUCUCUCUCUCUCACACACACACACACACACACACACGCUCUCUCUCUCUCUCUCUCUCUCUCUCACACACACACACACACACACACACGCUCUCUCUCUCUCUCUCUCUCUCUCUCACACACACACACACACACACACACGCUCUCUCUCUCUCUCUCUCUCUCUCUCACACACACACACACACACACACACGCUCUCUCUCUCUCUCUCUCUCUCUCUCACACACACACACACACACACACACGCUCUCUCUCUCUCUCUCUCUCUCUCUCACACACACACACACACACACACACGCUCUCUCUCUCUCUCUCUCUCUCUCUCACACACACACACACACACACACACGCUCUCUCUCUCUCUCUCUCUCUCUCUCACACACACACACACACACACACACGCUCUCUCUCUCUCUCUCUCUCUCUCUCACACACACACACACACACACACACGCUCUCUCUCUCUCUCUCUCUCUCUCUCACACACACACACACACACACACACACUCAAGCCAUCACACUCGUCACACCCGCUC
rnacentral:lncRNA from 1 species